GAAAAUCAAUUUCUCAAAACAGAUAUAUGAGUUUAGUUAUUUCUCUGUUUGGAAUACCAAAAGAUUACUACUUCUUUUUCCUCUUUCAAUCUCCCAAAAGCUAUCAAACUCAACUAUCUAAUAGUCAACGUCAAUGACCAAAAGUAGUACUUUGAAAAAAAUGUUCCAACAAAUUAAGCUAACCCCUUUUUUUUCCAUCUUUUAUAGCCUAGAAGCUAAAAGUUGGAUAAAGGAAAUUGGUAGUUGAGAAGUAGUACUCAAGCAUUAACAACAUCGAAUUUUUACAAUGCCCACUUUCUAUAGAGAUGCAAAUUCAAGAACUCAACAAUCGGUUUAAUGAAAUAACACGACAUUAUUUGUGUCUUUUAGAAAAUGUUAAUGAUCAAUUUAAGACUCCCUGAAAGAUGUAACCUGGAAAUAUGAAAUUUUUAAUCAAAAGAUAUGACAUAAAUCUAAGCCGGAUGUGGAGAGCAUGUUGAUUGAGGCGUAUAU
rnacentral:lncRNA from 1 species